GUAGCUGCCAGCCUCCACCACAGCCACAGCAACAGAGGAUCUAAGCCGCAUCUUUGACCUACACCAAAGCUCACAGCAACAAUGGAUCUCUAACCCACUGAGCAAGGUCAGGGAUUGAACCAGCGUCUUCAUGGAUACUAGUCGGAUUCCUUACCUCUGAGCCACAGCAGGAAUUCCUGCGUUUCUUCUUUCUACCGUGAGCAUCACAGGAAAACUUCCUGUGCCCUUCUAUUAAGGCAAGCCCAGGUAGCACACGCGGGUACAUCAAGGUGUCAGGACAAGGAGAGGAAAGAGCCCAGCCUCAAAGAAACACAUAAUGAAACUGUAAACGCAGGAGAGGUUCAGAAAUCAUUGCCAGUCUCCAAAAUAUACAAACAACUCAUGCAACUCAACAAAAACAACAACAACAACAACAAAAACCAAUUGAAAAAUGGGCAGAAGACCUAAAUAGACAUUCCCCAAAGAAGACAUAUGGAUGGCCAACAGGCAUAUGAAAACAUGCUCAAUAUCACAAUUAUUAGAGAAAUGCAAGUCAAAACUACAAUGAGGUACCACCUCACGCCAGUCAGAAUGACCAUUAUUAACAAGUCAACAAAUAACAAAUGCUGGAGAGGGUGUGGAGAAAAUGGUACCCUCCUCCACUGUUGGUGGGAAUGUAAAUUGGUACCACUAUGGAAAACAGUAUGGAAGUACCUGAGAAAACUCAGUCUAUAGCUACCAUAUGAUUCAGCAAUUCCACUGCUUGGCAUAUAUCUGAACACAACUUUCACUGAAAAAGAUGCAUCCACCCCUAUGUUUAUAGCACCACUAUUCACAAUAGCCAAGACAUGGAAACCACUUAAAAGUCAAUCAGCAGAUGAAUGGAUUAAGAAGAUGUGGUAUGAUGGAAUAUUACUAAGCCAUAAAAAGGACAAACUAAUGCCAUUUGCGGUGCCAUGGAUGAAUCUAGAGACUCUCAUACUAAGUGAGGAGGAACACUGUCUGCUCAGGGAGGGAGGAAGUCCGAGGCUGCUUUCAUGGAAAAACAAGGUCUUGUAUAAAAGUUGCUGAGAACAAAGACCUCGUGCUUAAGACUGUGGAGGUGACUCCUCUGAGCUGGCAUGGGUGCUGAAUAAACCUUGCUUUUCCUCAUCUCUGAGCGCCGUUUGUCUCCUUCCGCUGCCACAGUUUCUGAACCAAAACUAAGACAGGAUGGUGAGUCACCCGGGACCACCAGGUGUGCAUUCCAGAACAGCUAGCCUGCAAACUAAUCAACCAACAAUACGAGUUAACCCACAUGGGCAAAAACAGCCUUGGAGACCUUACUGGGCCGGUACUAUCUCAUUGCACAUAUCCCCGCACUCUGCUCCUCUGUCUCCCAAUGGUGCAUAACUUGUUUGCAGAAUAAUGCUCGCCAAGGGCCUAGCAGACCAGGUGGGGCACAGCACUGUGGACUGCCCCCAUUUGAGGAUAUGGAAUUGGACUUUACCGAAGUCACCCCAAGCAAGGGCUA
rnacentral:lncRNA from 1 species